rnacentral:lncRNA from 1 species
CAGCAUUACAUAAACAGCAGCAGCAUUUACACAAACAGCAUCAGUACAAAAAGCUGCCCAGCAGCAUUACAUAAACAGCAGCAGCAUUUACACAAACAGCAUCAGUACAAAAAGCUGCCCAGCAGCAUUACAUAAACAGCAACAACAUUUACACAACAGCAUCAGUACAAAAAGCACAUCAGUAGAAAAAGCUGCCCAGCAGCACUACAUAAACAGCAGUAACAUUUACACAAACAACAUCAGUACAAAAAGCUGCCCAGCAGCAUUACAUAAACAGUAUGCUUCUUUACAAAAUUAUGACCCCUAAAAAUUUACAGACACUGUCAAAAUGCAGUAAUUACAAGCCCACAAGACAUCCCAGACCACACAUCAUUUGUAUCUCUUCCUUUGGCACCAACUUCUCUAUUCUUUGCCUACUUUGUGUUUGUAAUUAUUUUCCAGUAAUAGCAGCUUUCCCAUUCCAUGUAAGGCUGCCUGGUAAGUAAGGAAGAUCAGAUGGAACACUUAAACCAUUGUGAUCACCUUUGAAUGCAAUUACCCUUGAUUCUGAAGGUUGUGAUGGUUGUUGUCUCUGUUGAAGCCUUGUUUUUUCUUCUGACACCACCAUAGGCCUUAUAGCUGGUUCAUCUUCUAGUUCUUGAUGCUCAAACUCUGGGCCUUGACUUGCUUGACUACAUUGGGGUGCAGUAAGGUUAGUUUCCUCUUGUGGAUGUUGCCCCACUUCUUCAUCUUCAUCAAGAAUUCUUUGCCUUUUCU